GGUCAUGAUCCGCCGCAUCUUCCGCCAAUGCUCACCGUACACCGUGAACACCAUGUCCUGGCCCUUACCUGUGAAUAUGUCGAACACCACGUUUCUUGUGCGUGAUCCGAACUCCACUCCCUGAGUGUGCAAAACGUCCUUCGCCAGGUCCGGCGACGACACCACCACCAGGUUCCGCUGCCCCAUUCGCAGCAUGAAAAUGUCCCCGAAUUUCUUCGCUAAGUCGGAGAGGUUCAGGUGGUUCAAGUCAUCCCCAACCUGCAGCCAGUUCCCGAAAACCGGCACCGGCAGAGGACCUGGAGGCAGCUUUAAUUUCUUCCCCAGAAGCUUAGAGAUGGUGAUGGCCAGAAUUAUAGCGCAGAACACCGCUAACAGAGCUUUCUCUAUGAGUAUGAGAUCCAUGGUUG
rnacentral:lncRNA from 1 species